UCGACCCGCUGAACUUAAGCAUAUCAAUAAGCGGAGGAAAAGAAACCAACAGGGAUUCCCUUAGUAACGGCGAGCGAAGUGGGAAUAAGCCCAGGUCUGGAAUCUCCCAGCUGGCAUUCGUCACAGCUGGGCGAAUUGUGGUCUGGAGAGACAGACUGUCCUGAUCCACUGCUUUCGAGCCCGAAGUUGACUUUGAACGGCACGCCAAAGAGGGUGACAGCCCCGUAGGGCCUGGAAAUCGAGAGCAGCAGGACGAGGGUCUGUACUCAUAGAGUCGGGUUGUUUGGGAAUGCAGCCCCAAGAGGGUGGUAGACUCCAUCCAAGGCUAAAUACAGGCGCGAGACCGAUAGCUGACAAGUAC
rnacentral:rRNA from 2 species